rnacentral:rRNA from 1 species
GUGAGGAAUUUUCCGCAAUGGAGGCAACUCUGACGCAGCCAUGCCGCGUGCAGGAAGAAGGCGCUACGCGUUGUAAACUGCUUUUAACCGGGAAGAAACCCCAGGACGUGUCCUGGGUUGACGGUACCGGAGGAAUAAGCACCGGCUAACUUCGUGCCAGCAGCCGCGGUAAUACGAAGGGUGCAAGCGUUAUCCGGAUUCAUUGGGUUUAAAGGGUGCGUAGGCGGAGCGUUAAGUCAGUGGUGAAAUCCUGCAGCUUAACUGUAGACUUGCCAUUGAUACUGGCGCUCUUGAGUGCGCUUGAAGUGGGCGGAAUGUGCCGUGUAGCGGUGAAAUGCUUAGAUAUGGCACAGAACACCAAUUGCGAAGGCAGCUCACUAAGGCGAUACUGACGCUGAGGCACGAAAGCGUGGGGAUCGAACAGGAUUAGAUACCCGGGUAGUCC